rnacentral:rRNA from 1 species
UUUUAUUUGAGAGUUUGAUCCUGGCUCAGGAUGAACGCUGGCGGCGUGCCUAACACAUGCAAGUUGAGCGAUUUACUUCGGUAAAGAGCGGCGGACGGGUGAGUAACGCGUGGGUAACCUACCCUGUACACACGGAUAACAUACCGAAAGGUAUGCUAAUACGGGAUAAUAUAUUUGAGAGGCAUCUCUUGAAUAUCAAAGGUGAGCCAGUACAGGAUGGACCCGCGUCUGAUUAGCUAGUUGGUAAGGUAACGGCUUACCAAGGCGACGAUCAGUAGCCGACCUGAGAGGGUGAUCGGCCACAUUGGAACUGAGACACGGUCCAAACUCCUACGGGAGGCAGCAGUGGGGAAUAUUGCACAAUGGGCGAAAGCCUGAUGCAGCAACGCCGCGUGAGUGAUGAAGGCCUUCGGGUCGUAAAA